AAGAAUAGAGAAAAACAUCAGUGCAAGAGAGAAGCACUGACUGGUUGCCUUCUGUAUGCACCCAGACUUGGGAUUACAUGCUCCGGGAUCAGGGAACUUGCAAUCUAGGUCAAGAAGACAGUCUCAAGGGAAGAGAAGGAUGAAUGAAGAACAAUGCUGUUGAAGCAAUUAGUAAGUAAAUGUUAUACAUAUUUAGGCUAUGUAUGUACAAGAUAUAAAGACCCAUUACAACUUAAUAAUAAGACAGUAAUUGAAUUUAAAAAUGGGCAAAAAAUCUGAAGAGAUAUUUCUCCAAAUGUAUGCAAUGCUAUUCCAAAGAAGAUAAACAGACAG